GACGAACGCUGGCGGCGUGCUUAACACAUGCAAGUCGAACGGAAAGGCCCCCAUCUUGGUGGGGGUGCUCGAGUGGCGAACGGGUGAGUAACACGUGGGUGAUCUGCCCUGUACUUCGGGAUAAGCUUGGGAAACUGGGUCUAAUACCGGAUAGGACCAUGGUUUAGUGUCUCAUGGUGGAAAGAUUAUUGUUUUGGUGCAGGAUGAGCUCGCGGCCUAUCAGCUUGUUGGUGGUGUAAUGGCCUACCAAGGCGUCGACGGGUAGCCGGCCUGAGAGGGUGGACGGCCACAUUGGGACUGAGAUACGGCCCAGACUCCUACGGGAGGCAGCAGUGGGGAAUAUUGCACAAUGGGCGCAAGCCUGAUGCAGCGACGCCGCGUGGGGGAUGACGGCCUUCGGGUUGUAAACUCCUUUCGUUAGGGACGAAGCCACGCUUUUGGGGUGUGGUGACGGUACCUUUGUGAAGAAGCACCGGCUAACUACGUG
rnacentral:rRNA from 1 species